CCCGUAGGGGGCAAGCGUUGUCCGGAUUUAUUGGGCGUAAAGGGUAGGUAGGUGGUCUCAUUUGUCUGGGGUGAAAGCCUUGAGCUUAACUCAAGAAGUGCCCUAGAAACGGUGAGACUGGAGUCCUGGAGAGGGUCGUGGAAUUCCCGGUGUAGCGGUGAAAUGCGUAGAGAUCGGGAGGAACACCAGCGGCGAAGGCGGCGACCUGGACAGGUACUGACACUCAACUACGAAAGCGUGGGGAGCAAACAGG
rnacentral:rRNA from 1 species